GACGUGCAUGGGCCUUUGAAACACAAAUUAAAAGACUACUGGCUGUAAAGCUGUUUCUCUUCCUUCUUCCCAAGUGGAUUAGGUUUAUAAAGGAUGUAUGGAGUGCUUUUUCUGGCUGGCCCCACACCUGCUGUUCCCACACAGUAGCUGGAGGACAUUGUCAGAGGCUCAGGGAGUGAUGAUGGCCUGGCUUCCAGAAAGACAGUUGAAAACUCAGCUCCAAGGAUCUGGGAGAAAUUUCCUAAUCCCACUUUUACCGUCAUAUAUGUCUGACCUCGGCACGGGACUUUUCCUCGGAGAGCCUGUAUUGUCUUAGAGCAGUGGUGAGGAAGAGGAGAAAUAAGAAGACACUUGGUAAAGUGCUUGAUACAUAGCACAGGCUCAAAAACUGGUAGGUAAGGGUAAAAAAAGAAAAAGAAAAAAAUACCAGGCCCUCUAGGUCACCCCAGGACGGGAAGAAAGGAGCCCCCAGGCUCAGGAAAAGAAGCUGGGCAAGGCCGGUGGUUUUGUUUUUUCCUUUAAAUUCUCAUGCUUGUCCUUCCUGCCCUAAAGACAAAAAAACGAAAGCUGACCCUCAGCUCCUGGGGGGGAAAAACACCACAGCCUAGGACGAGCCGGGUCCCCGCAGAAUUUUGUCUUCACCAAGCGUGGAGGGACAGACCCUUGAGCUGAUUCGAGGUGGGGAGUGCGAAGGCUUCUUUCCUUGCUCAUUUUUACUCGAUUCAGUUUUCCCCAAAGCCCACGGCCACGCAGGUGGGCGCGGCACCGGAGCCACCUCGGACCGGAGCCCAACCGGCUCCGGGGACUGUGCGUGCGACAGGGUAGUGCGGCGGCGCUCGCGCUGACCGGGUACUGGACCUCCGCCUGCAAUCCGGACGCCUCCAUAAAAACUGCGAGCUCCCCGGCACCCCACCCUCCAGCACAGAGCUGCGGCUCUGAAAAGUCAGCAACUGGAGACGCCAUUGCCCUUCCCACCCUUGCGGUGGCCGGGGACGAGCCAGUCGCAGUGCCUGUGUGCGGCGGGGCGCGCCGCAGGUAGGGGACAGCAGAUCUGCGAAGCCAUUUUCUGGGCGGAUUUGCAGUCAUUUCUACUCUUGAGAGAACUGACGGGGAUAGUAUGGCGGGGGCCUGGGGGUGCCAGAUGAUGUCACCAGGAGCAGUUGACCUGGGGGUUACUCUGUUCUCUGACCCUAACCUGCUCCAAGACCCAGCGCCAGACGUCAGUCUUUUCAUCUACAAAAAUGCAAGGAAGGAUUAAAAUCAGACCGUG